AUGGCCUCCGACGGCGGCAUGGCAGCGCUUCUGAGGAACAAGAUGUUCGUCUCCUGCGUGAUGCUCCUCGUGGUCCUCCUGAUGGCCACGCAGAUAGCGGCGGCGGGCGGCGGGGCACGCCGGCUCCUGUGGUGUGGCUAUAGAAACUGCAACUGCCGCACUUGCCCCAUAUAUGGGUGGGCGUGCUGCGGCAUUACGAGGUUACAUGUGGCUGCUGCUGUUUCAACGGUAGUGGUCGUCGUUGUCAUCGUCGGUGGUUCUGGUGACGAUUUUUACAGUUUACUACUAGUAUAUGAACGAAAAUGCUUCUUCAUCUGUCUGGUCUAUUGCUUGCCAUGUGAUGCUACCACCCGUCUCUACGGGCACGCAAGGGCGAUGGAUUUUAGCCUCCGUAACGGGGGUUCCGGCAGCGUGCUCCGCGGUGGGGCUUGGAGUGCUCGACCUGGCCUAAGGUGA
rnacentral:rRNA from 1 species